ACUAUAACCACAACCUCCAUUUACACCACUAAAUAAAAAUCUGAAUUUCCAUUGAAGUGUCUUAUUCUUGUUGAGCAUCCAUGAAUGACCCUAAAUACACACUUUAUUUCUCCUUUAAUUUUAGGUUGUCGUACUGUAUUUCCCAAAUAUCUUCUUCUUACAGUCAUAAUCUUCAUACGUUCCUUCAUGAAAGUUGUAGAUCUCGAAAAGUUAUUGAAUUUAGACCCAAAAAUCAUCUGAUUCGGAGUUCGGAGUAAAGAGUUAGACCCUCUGGAAGUUAUCUGUUAUUGCUGCCAAAUUUUAUACGUUCCUCCUGUUCCUUUGUUUAAAUUCUGAUUCAUGGAACCCGAAAGUCUAUUUAUUUGGUUAAGAACGCUAUGAUGUCAUGGAGAAUGAUUCUUGGAGAUGACGACACUUAAUGAGUAAAGGAAAUGAAUUAGUGUAUAAGGUAUUAUGAAGAUAGCUCUGGAUCAGUUAUGUCAAGGAUGCUCCGAAAAGGUCGAGUUGAAGCGACUCUACAUAUAUUUGGGAUAUUUAGAAUACUAUGUAUUAUGAGAAAUCAUUAUUACUCUAGUUGUGAGUUUGUAAAUUUUUAGAGACCAUUUUAAGGCUAUUAUUUUAUUUAUGGGCCCAUAACCCACAGCUUAAGUU